rnacentral:rRNA from 1 species
GAUGAACGCUGGCGGCGUGCCUAAUACAUGCAAGUCGAGCGAACGGACGAGAAGCUUGCUUUUCUGAUGUUAGCGGCGGACGGGUGAGUAACACGUGGAUAACCUACCUAUAAGACUUUGAUAACUUCGGGAAACCGGAGCUAAUACCGGCUAAUAUUUUGAACCGCAUGGUUCAAAAUUGAAAGACGGUCUUGCUGUCACUUAUAGAUGUAUCCGCGCUGCAUUAGCUAGUUGGUAAGGUAACGGCUUACCAAGGCAACGAUGCAUAGCCGACCUGAGAGGGUGAUCGGCCACACUGGAACUGAGACACGGUCCAGACUCCUACGGGAGGCAGCAGUAGGGAAUCUUCCGCAAUGGGCGAAAGCCUGACGGAGCAACGCCGCGGGAGUGAUGAAGGUCUUAGGAUCGUAAAACGCUGUUAGUAGGGAAGAACAUAUGUGUAAGUAACUGUGCACAACUUGACGGUACCUAAUCAGAAAGCCACGGCUAACUACGUG